UUGUGUUAAUUAAGACAUUUCAAUAAAUAUAAUUAGAGUUAUUUUUUGUGUAAAUAAUUAAUAGUACUCAAAUUAUAUAAUUAUUAGCAUAGAAAUAAUCUUAACAACUUAAAAAUUUAUUUAUCCAAUGACAUAAAAAAUUGCUAAUUUACUUUGAAAUAUUUAAUUUAAGCAAUAAGUUAAUUUUAUUGUGUAAUAUAUUUAUUACAAAGAAAAUGUGAUGUUUGGUACAAUGCAUUCAAGUAUGGGUUCUUUUACCUAUGCGCUGCACAGAUUUGUUUUAAGUUGUAAUUUUAAAUUGUGAUAUUUUAAUUUGUAUAAAGGUAAGAAUAUUAAAUGAAAGUUCAUCAAAAACUUCAUUGUACACUAAAUUUUUUCGUAUAUUACGCAUAUGUAUCAUCUUUCUCAACAAUAAGUAUUUCAAUCCCUUUGGUAAUCUUACUUUAAACAACGCAAAUAUAAUUGGUCAUGAGAGCAUAUAUGUCUUGGCAAAUAUAAUCUCCCAUAGUUCAAUGACUGAUUUUGGCUUUUGUUAAUUGUCAUGGUGUAACAAACUUUAUUGAAAAUUGUUUCUUCUUAGCAUAAAAUAUCAUUUAGAAUUAUUUGUGGUAAAAACUAUAUGUGUUAUAAGCACUUUUGCACCAGUGUUACUUCCUGAAGUAUUUGCGACUCUAUUUUCUAUUCUCCUAGAUGUACAAUAAUUAGUUUUAUUCCAUUGCACAUUCCUAGGGUUGGAUUGAUGUUCCUGAGUAGCAUAAUUGACAUUCCUACUUUAAGGUGCAACAAUGGUUUGGGUAUUAUUGAAAUUUAAAGAAUUCAAGAACUUCACCGGAUACAUGAACUCUUGUUCAGUUAUAUAUAUUAUCAUUUGCAAUAUCCAUUUGUUGAAUUCAGAUGCCAAUAAAUUAAGUUGAGCAGAUGAUGAAGUGUCAACGAUCAUACUUUUAGAAAACAUAAAGAUCUUGAAGAAACCAACAAUGUCUUUUAGUGUUCUAUCAAGGGAUUCAAAUGCCAACCUUUUAGUCAUAGGUGUUUCAUUCCAAAUAAUCAAAUCUAUUUGAAUUAUUAAUUGAGCAAGCUGAGUAUUUUACUUGAUUAAGCUCGUACUAUCUUCAAAAACAUCUAGAGGUAUUUUAAAUCGACUAUGAGUGUUGUACCUCAAGGUAGUAAUUAAUAAUGAUACGCUCCCUGGAAUUUUUAAAAAAAUAAAAGAUUAGAGUACAAUGAAUUUAAUACAUAUUAAUAUAGUGUGAUUAUUUAGUUUGUAAAAAUGUAUUUUUAAGUUACUAAAAAAAUGUAUUAUUAAGUUCAAUCAUCAUUGAUUAAAUAAAAAGAUAAAUAUUUGUUAAAUAUUUUUUAGUAAGAAUAAUUCAAAUAUUUAUCAUCAAUAACAAAAGUAAAUAUUAAAAAAAAAUUGACAAAAAAAAUAAAUAAAUAAAAAAUAACAAAUAUAUGAGAAAAGGGAGAGUGAGACACGCUUCCCCCCCUAGCCACCACACCUGGCCUCUCCUCUUCUCCUCCUCCUUCCCUUACGACCACGAAACCACCAGCCAGGCCUCCGACAACUUCCGUCGGACGUGCGACCCACACCACUGACCCCCGUCCCACCCAAUUUUGUUUCUUUGUCAAACUUGUGUUGCACAGGACAAACGACCACCGCUGCGUGACUUCCAGCGAGGCCCAUAGAGUUCAUAAUUGUAGACUAAAGUAGUAGUGUUACCAUGAUAUUCUCUCUAUGGUAUGGUCAUAUAAUGGAGUUUGAAUUGAAGGUUCCUCCUCUCCCUCCAUGUCAUUGAUUUGUGGAGGAAGUAUACUAUCUAGGCUCAUUCUGUGGUGGUAUCGAGCAAGGAGGGAGUAACUGUGAGUGUUUCAGCUUGACAUAUAUAUGUUUUUGGUUUCUGAUUUUAUUGUUAGUGUUAGUAAAUUUGAAGAACCUUGUGUAGAAAUGAAAUUUCUCUUUUUAUAGGAUAUAGAUUGACUUUUGUUCUAUGAGAUAUUCAUAUAGAAAAGCAUAAGAUAGAUAUAGAGUAGUUAUUUACCUGAUGAA